CCUACGGUGGGCAGCAGUGAGGAAUAUUGGUCAAUGGGCGCUAGCCUGAACCAGCCAAGUAGCGUGAAGGAUGACUGCCCUAUGGGUUGUAAACUUCUUUUAUAUGGGAAUAAAGUGCAGUAUGUAUACUGCUUUGCAUGUACCUUAUGAAUAAGGAUCGGCUAACUCCGUGCCAGCAGCCGCGGUAAUACGGAGUAUCCGAGCGUUAUCCGGAUUUAUUGGGUUUAAAGGGAGCGUAGAUGGGUUGUUAAGCCAGUUGUGAAAGUUUGGGGCUCAACCGUAAAAUUGCAAUUGAUACUGGCAGUCGUGAGUACAGUUGAGGUAAGCGGAAUUCGUGGUGUAGCGGUGAAAUGCGUAGAUAUCACGAAGAACCCUGAUUGCGAAGGCAGCUUACUGAACUGUGACUGACGUUGAGGCUCGAAAGUGUGGGGAGCAAACAGGAUUAGAUACCCUAGUAGUC
rnacentral:rRNA from 1 species